GCCUUGCUAGCUCAAUCGGUAGAGCGUGGGACUCUUAAUCUCAAGGUUGCGGGUUCGACCGCCGCGUGAGGCU
rnacentral:tRNA from 1 species